GCUACAACAUCUGUCACCCCAUUGAUCGCCAGGAUUUACUCAGCUAAUCUGGCUGGCUAGGUGGCCAUUCC
rnacentral:snRNA from 1 species